rnacentral:antisense_RNA from 1 species
AGGCUCCCUGGGCUGGCACCGCCCUAGGCUGGAGAAAGAGGAAACACGUUGGUCUGCGCACUCAGAGCCGAGUCAAAUGUGCAGGAAGAUUCCCCCAAACUGAAAGAAGUAAUGAAAAGAAAACAAAAAAAUCCUUAAAAAUCGAGUGAAUCAGUUCGUAGAGAAUUGCAGGGUCAACAGCAAAUUUGAGGCAGUGGAUAUGAGGAUAGAGGAGACACCUGAAGACUUCACUUUCUCCAUUUCUGUACUUGAAUUUUUACACCAAGCAUACAGCUUGAAAAAAUUAAAUGAGUAUGCAGUAUUUUAAAAAUCAACAAAAGCUUCACAUUUUAAUUUUCACUUAAAAAAAAACACGAGUGGUACUCAGCAGAACAACAACUAUAUCGUAUAAGCUGCAUCAGAGACAAAUGAAGAUGAAAAAACUAUCCUCCUAUAUCACUAAUCUGUGCUGUGCCCCAACAAGGCCUGCUUUAAAUUUCCAUGCCAAUUACAACCCCCAUUCUGUAUCAGGCAAGGAAGAUUCCUCUACCCUUGAUUCUGGAUUGGAAAGGUCACAAGGCUUAGAUUCCACAGGAGGAGGUGAAGACAUCUGCAGAGUCUGUACUGCGAGCUGAAGCUUUAUUUGCUUGUCGGAUCCCCAAAAGGUCCAAAUCCAGUCUGCACCAAACAGGAAGGCUUGGUGCUUGGUCAUCUUGGUGGUGGUCAGCCACUCAUCAACUCCCUUUUCUUGGCAGAAAGUGAUGAAAUGGAUUAAGAAGAUCUCAUUCAGAGUAUUUGCAGCUGGGCAGAGUUUACUUGGAGGAUAUUCAAAUCCAAGGUACUCCUUCAGUUUCUGAGCUGCAUGGACUAUAGCUUCACCGACCACCUCACAGACGACGGGCACCUCUUUGCUGUCCUUCAGAGCCAACUGUUGCGAUGCUUUCUGCCCCAUUUUCUCUGCAUCCAAAUAUCAAACAUGUGAAUCUGGUUCAGACGUACUUCUUUUUCAAAGUAAAAGUUCUGCAAGGAGGCCACAUCUGUUAAUGGUUGAUAUUUUUCUAACUCUACAGCUUCCUCGGGUGUAGUUAAGCAUAUAUACAUACAGCUAAAUAAACAUGUUAGUUCUC